UAACAUCUCUUAGUGUACACGGGUUUGC
rnacentral:piRNA from 1 species